rnacentral:lncRNA from 1 species
CUGAGAACAUCGAGGUGCCACCACCAAAGGCUGUGGAGUCGGAGGAAGUCACCACCGUCUCCGAGUCUCUUCCAGCUCCGGUAACAGAAUCUCAAGCGCCUGUCGAAGUAACAACUAAAGAUUUGGUCGUGGAAGAGACAGAGAAACCAAUCGAAGAAACAGAGGAAGCUCAAGUUGAAACUCCGGAGGUUGUGGAGAUCAAGAAAGAUGAAGAAGCUCCGGUUGAAACUCCGGUGGUUGUGGAGGAUGAGAGCAAAACAGAGGAAGUUGUAGAGGCGAAGAAAGAGGAAGAAGUAGAAGAAAAG